CGGGGGCAAUCCCCCCUUCACUCUGGGACAAGCCCUGGAAACGGGGUCUAAUACCGGAUAACACUCCUGCCUGCAUGGGCGGGAGUUAAAAGCUCCGGCGGUGAAGGAUGAGCCCGCGGCCUAUCAGCUUGUUGGUGGGGUAAUGGCCCACCAAGGCGACGACGGGUAGCCGGCCUGAGAGGGCGACCGGCCACACUGGGACUGAGACACGGCCCAGACUCCUACGGGAGGCAGCAGUGGGGAAUAUUGCACAAUGGGCGAAAGCCUGAUGCAGCGACGCCGCGUGAGGGAUGACGGCCUUCGGGUUGUAAACCUCUUUCAGCAGGGAAGAAGCGAAAGUGACGGUACCUGCAGAAGAAGCGCCGGCUAACUACGUGCCAGCAGCCGCGGUAAUACGUAGGGCGCAAGCGUUGUCCGGAAUUAUUGGGCGUAAAGAGCUCGUAGGCGGCUUGUCACGUCGGGUGUGAAAGCCCGGGGCUUAACCCCGGGUCUGCAUCCGAUACGGGCAGGCUAGAGUGUGGUAGGGGAGAUCGGAAUUCCUGGUGUAGCGGUGAAAUGCGCAGAUAUCAGGAGGAACACCGGUGGCGAAGGCGGAUCUCUGGGCCAUUACUGACGCUGAGGAGCGAAAGCGUGGGGAGCGAACAGGAUUAGAUACCCUGGUAGUCCACGCCGUAAACGUUGGGAACUAGGUGUUGGCGACAUUCCACGUCGUCUGUGCCGCAGCUAACGCAUUAUGUCCCCCGCCUGGGGAGUACGGCCGCAAGGCUAAAACUCAAAAGGAUUGGACGGGCGGCCCGCACAAGCAGCGGAAGCAUGUGGCUUAAUUCGACGCAACGGCGAAGAACUUUAACCAAGGGCUUGACAUAUACCGGAAACGGCCAGGAAGAUGUUCGCCCCCCUUGGUGGAUCAGUUAAUACAGGGUGGUGGCAAUGACAUGUCCGUCAGCUCGUGUACGUGGAGAUGUUCGGGAUUUAAAGUUCCCGGCA
rnacentral:rRNA from 1 species